AUUGAAGAGUGAAUGAGCGAAGGCAGCAGCAAUAGCAGGAGCAAUGGC
rnacentral:ribozyme from 1 species